rfam:Spirochaeta coccoides DSM 17374, complete genome.
GCCCAGAUGGCGGAAUUGGUAGACGCACUAGGUUCAGGUCCUAGCGGUGGCAACACUGUGCAAGUUCGAGUCUUGUUCUGGGCA